GCAAGACCGGUGCCAGCCGCCGCGGUAACACCGGCGGCCCGAGUGGUGAUCGUGAUUAUUGGGUCUAAAGGGUCCGUAGCCGGUUUGGUCAGUCCUCCGGGAAAUCUGAUAGCUCAACUAUUAGGCUUUCGGGGGAUACUGCCAGGCUUGGAACCGGGAGAGGUAAGAGGUACUACAGGGGUAGGAGUGAAAUCUUGUAAUCCCUGUGGGACCACCUGUGGCGAAGGCGUCUUACCAGAACGGGUUCGACGGUGAGGGACGAAAGCUGGGGGCACGAACCGGAUUAGAUACCCGGGUAGUCCCAGCCGUAAACGAUGCUCGCUAGGUGUCAGGCAUGGCGCGACCGUGUCUGGUGCCGCAGGGAAGCCGUG
rnacentral:rRNA from 1 species